rnacentral:tRNA from 1 species
GGGGCGAUGGUUGAGUGGUUGAAAACAGCAGUUUACUAAACUGCCGAUGAAGAAAUUCAUUCGUAGGUUCGAAUCCUACUCGCCCCG